AGCGGAGGAAAAGAAACUAACCAGGAUUGCCUUAGUAACGGCGAGUGAAACGGCAAAAGCCCACACUGAAAAUCGCUUCGGCGAAUUGUACAGUGAAGACGUUAUUCUUACCUGAUCAUGCUCGUGUAACUCGGCUGGAACGCCGGACCAGAGAGGGUGCAAGUCCCGUGCCGCGAGCGUGAGAAGGAUAGAGUUCGUUCUAAGAGUCGGGUAGUUUGGGAAUGCUGCCCUAAUUGGGAGGUAGACUCCUUCUAAGGCUAAAUAACGACGAGAGACCGAUAGUGGACAAGUACUGUGAAGGAAAGAUGAAAAGAACUUUGGAAAGAGAGUUAAAAGACUUGAAAUCGUUGAGGAGGAAGCAGUGCGCCUGACACAGCCUCUUACAAAACUGUACCACGGUGCAGGGGGAGUAGGUGGUGGAGUCUGCUGUCUGGGAGGUUCGCCGUAGUGUUUACUGUUAGUGCUCACGGAAAGCGAACCGAUCGGUAGUAGGCGUUGGGUGCACUGGCCCGUCUUGAAACACGGACCAAGGAGUCCAGCCUAUGUGCAAGUAGAGGGGCUUAACCCCAGAUGCGCAACGAAAGUAAUCUCUGGCUCAGCAGAGGCCGCAAUAGCGAGCUCAGCAGAUAGGCUGGGACCCGAAAGAUGGUGAACUAUGCUUGGGGAAGGCGAAGCCAGGGGAAACCCUGGUGGAGGCUUGUAGAGGUUCUGACGUGCAAAUCGAUCUUCUGACCUGAGUAUAGGGGCGAAAGACUUAUCGAACCAUCUAGUAGCUGGUUCCCUCCGAAAUUUCCCUCAGGAUAGCAGGAGCUGUGCAGUUUUACCAGGUAAAGCGAAUGAUUAGAGGUUCGGGGGAUGAAACAUCCUUCACCUAUUCUCAAACUUUAAAUUGGUAAGGUGAUUGAGUUACUUCAGUGAACUUUUUCUUGAAUGCUUGCUCCAAGUGGGCCAUUUUUGGUAAGCAGAACUGGCAACGAGGGCUCAACCUAAGGCGAUGUUGAGGCGACCAAUUGACUGCUCACAGAUGGAAAGGUGUUGGUUCAUUUAGACAGUAGGACGGUGGCCAUGGAAGUCGGAACCCGCUAAGGAGU
rnacentral:rRNA from 1 species